UACAGAGGGGGCAAGCGUUGUUCGGAAUUACUGGGCGUAAAGGGCGCGUAGGCGGCCCGUCAAGUCCCGUGUGAAAGCCCCCGGCUAAACCGGGGAACGGCGCGGGAAACUAGCAGGCUUGAGUGCGGGAGAGGGAAGCGGAAUUCCGGGUGUAGCGGUGAAAUGCGCAGAUAUCAGGAGGAACACCGAUGGCGAAGGCAGAUCUCUGGGCCGUAACUGACGCUGAGGAGCGAAAGCGUGGGGAGCGAACAGG
rnacentral:rRNA from 1 species